UACGGAGGGUGCAAGCGUUAUCCGGAUUUACUGGGUUUAAAGGGUGCGUAGGUGGUUUGGUAAGUCAGUGGUGAAAUCUUCGAGCUUAACUCGGAAACUGCCAUUGAUACUAUCAAUCUUGAAUUAUCUGGAGGUAAGCGGAAUAUGUCAUGUAGCGGUGAAAUGCUUAGAUAUGACAUAGAACACCCAUUGCGAAGGCAGCUUACUACGGAUAUAUUGACACUGAGGCACGAAAGCGUGGGGAUCAAACAGG
rnacentral:rRNA from 1 species